rnacentral:misc_RNA from 1 species
GCUGAAGGUACUACCACCAAAAUAUUUGUUUUAAAGUUGGUAAAGGAUUUGUUUCUGAGUUUCUUGAAUUUUCAGUAUCUGUGCAAGUAUGCAUGGAACUGCAGUCAACAAUAUAGUUAGUUCAUCAGUUUGCAGCUCAAGUAAUUGCUUUAGAUCAGGAGCAUGGAUGCUUGAGGAACAUCCUUUCCAUUGUUGUUUUUCUUUUUUAUAUUAUUUAAUGGAAAAUAUCAAAGGGCGUCACAAAUAGAAUACAUGGAGAAAUUUUAAAAUAUAGUUGUUGUGUGUAACAUACAAGAUUUUAUUAUGGCCAAUGAUUAUGGUGAGUCCCAUCAGACAUUUGUGAAUUGUGAAGGCAGUUCGUGCUAUUAGAGUUAUUGGGGUUCUU